UUAAACGACUCUCGGCAACGGAUAUCUCGGCUCUCGCAUCGAUAAAGAACGUAGCGAAAUGCGAUACUUGGUGUGAAUUGCAGAAUCCCGUGAACCAUCGAGUCUUUGAACGCAAGUUGCGCCCGAAGCCUUCGGGCCGAGGGCACGUCUGCCUGGGCGUCA
rnacentral:rRNA from 1 species